GUUGGUGUGGAAUCUGGAGUUAAAACUCAUUUGGGGGUAGAGAUGGAAAGAUGGACAGUUGGGUUUGAUGAGAUAAGGUUUUCAUUUGAAAUGUUCACCAGCAGAAAGAAGAGACUAGAAAGAGGGAUAUAUGAUUUCCUGUAAGAAUGUGAAUUGGGAAACUAAAUUCUUUCAAAUGAGUUUCCUGAGCAGAUUUUAUAGAACUACUCUCUACCUCUGUCUACACUAUUUGUGUCCUGGGUGACUGACCUUCCCCAGCCAAAUCAUCUGGCUCCCCUGCCCUGUGGCUUCUGGUUGGAUUACACAAAUGGGAGUCACCAGCUGGAGAUCAGAGAGUGAGGUUUCUGGAGCGGUUGUGUUUGAAUGAAUAGCCCAUAGACCCUCUUAGCAAGAGUGAGAUGGAAGGGGUGGUGAGACCAUAAUAAAUCUAGGAGCUGAAGAUUUGAGUAAAGGACAAAGAAGAAAGGACAAUACAGAGAAGAGGUUAUGAGGAUGGGACUUGGAGAAAGACUGCCUGAGUUCACAUCCUGACUUCUUUCUGUGCCUGUGUCCUUCAGUUUAAUGAAGACAAUAAACCUCAGAGGACUGUAUUAAUGUGAUACAUACUUGGUAGUGAUCUUUAACUAAUGUGUGAUAAACACUAAAUGAACACUUGCUAGUAUUAGCAAUUAUUAUUUUAAAGGUUGUUACUAAAAAGUUCUUAGGAUUAUAUCAGAAAGUAGAUCGGGAAGCAUGGGCUUCAUUUUUGUGAUAAAUGUGAAUUACUAGAAACUGAUAUGCCUAAAGCUGAAGGCUGUGUAGGUAUAUGUAUAAAUUUCCUCUAUAAAUGCUAUUCUGCUUGGAAAAAUUUGUAUGUUCCCAUGUGUAUCUAGUGUGUUAUUACUCUUGCUCUUUUAGGGUCUAAAGUGUACCGUAGGGUAGGAAAUUAGAUUUGGAAGGGACCUCAGAGAAAAUCUUUUUUAUCCCUUGUACUUUUUAGGAGACAUGCUUGUGAUAAGGUACCCAGUUAGAGAAGAAGGAAGAGAUGAAGACCUGGAAUUUAUAUUAAGGCAUAUAUAACUUGGGAACAUUUUGUAUCUUUCAAAUAGAUAGAAUGGUUAGAAAUUCAUCUUUGUAUUCAUGUCAUAAAUGCAUUUCAUAUGCUUGAAACUUUAACAUUAACACAUCUCAGUGUAUUAGGGAAGUGUAUCUUUAGUUCAAAAUACCAUAACUCUUCCUGACCAUGGAUAUUUAUUACAAUAGAAUCUUUGAAGCCUUUAAAAAUAACCUUUUCAAAUAGGUAAAUAUCUUUGCCCAUAAACAUUUAUGUCAUCACUUUGUAGAUGUUUUAAGCCACUCUUAUUCUUUUUUUUAAGUGUUAACAAUUACCAGUGCUUCAUUCUCUGGGAAUGGGGAGGGAAUAAAACAACCAAAAAGACAUUUGUGUAAGGUCACUUUCUUAAAUGAAGAAAACUCCAAAAUAUAAUAUUUACGAGCUGUCAAA